rnacentral:rRNA from 1 species
CUGAGUACGGCGGAACACGUGAAAUUCCGUCGGAAUCCGGGAGGACCAUCUCCCAAGGCUAAAUACUCCCUAGUGACCGAUAGUGAACCAGUACCGUGAGGGAAAGGUGAAAAGCACCCCGGAAGGGGAGUGAAACAGUUCCUGAAACCGUGUGCCUACAAGUAGUUAGAGCCCGUUAAUGGGUGAUAGCGUGCCUUUUGUAGAAUGAACCGGCGAGUUACGAUUUGUUGCAAGGUUAAGCGGAAAAAGCGGAGCCGUAGCGAAAGCGAGUCUGAAUAGGGCGCAUAAGUAACAGGUCGUAGACCCGAAACCAGGUGAUCUACCCAUGUCCAGGAUGAAGGUAAGGUAAUACUUACUGGAGGUCCGAACCCACGCACGUUGAAAAGUGCGGGGAUGAGGUGUGGGUAGCGGAGAAAUUCCAAUCGAACUUGGAGAUAGCUGGUUCUCUCCGAAAUAGCUUUAGGGCUA